UGUCCAGGAUUUGUUCCUGCCUGAAUGGAGUCCAACUUUCCCCUUCCAGCACCAAUGCUUCCUGAAGCACAUGGACUAUGACACCAGUUCCUGCUUUCAUCUCUCUCUGUCCUCCUCAUGGUCCCAUGGGAAGAAGUGUCUUUAUCCUGUUGCAUGGCAGGACCUUUUGGUGUCUCUCUCUCUUCCCCACCAAUUCUUCUGUUGGUGGGGAAAAUGUUCUUUGCUGGAAAAGCUGUGCCACUUGCUUAUUGAGCAAGGAAAAAAUAAUGAAGAAUACCCUCCAGCAAGACACAGCUUUUGCCAAAGCAUCUCAGAAGACUUCCCCUUUUGCUGAAUCAAAUGCUACCUGAAAAAGGACUGUAAGAAUGGGGCCAACCCUGCCCUAGGAAAGAGAGGAUACCAUGAGCUGAGACUAGUCACCUAAAAUGGGUCCCCAACCCCUGGUCCACGGCCAGGUGCCAGUUCGUGGGCUUUGCAGGAUCAGGCUGCAGAGACAGAUCUCCCACCCACCCACCACCGCACGCAUGCAUGGUGAGCGUGGUGGUUCGUGCACAUGUGCGGGUAAGCAGGCGCAUUCGUGGAUGGGCAUGGAGCGUUCGCUGAUGGGUGUGGCAUGCUCAUGGGUGAGUGGGGUGCACACGCUAGUACGGGGUGCUUGGAAACACUUGGACCUGAUUAGGACAAUCUAAUAAAGCCAGACUGUUCACAUAGCUAAGUCUCCUG
rnacentral:lncRNA from 1 species